rnacentral:rRNA from 1 species
CUACGGGAGGCAGCAGUGGGGAAUAUUGCACAAUGGGCGGAAGCCUGAUGCAGCAACGCCGCGUGCGGGAUGACGGCCUUCGGGUUGUAAACCGCUUUCGCCUGUGACGAAGCGUGAGUGACGGUAAUGGGUAAAGAAGCACCGGCUAACUACGUGCCAGCAGCCGCGGUGAUACGUAGGAUGCGAGCGUUGUCCGGAUUUAUUGGGCGUAAAGGGCUCGUAGGUGGUUGAUCGCGUCGGAAGUGUAAUCUUGGGGCUUAACCCUGAGCGUGCUUUCGAUACGGGUUGACUUGAGGAAGGUAGGGGAGAAUGGAAUUCCUGGUGGAGCGGUGGAAUGCGCAGAUAUCAGGAGGAACACCAGUGGCGAAGGCGGUUCUCUGGGCCUUUCCUGACGCUGAGGAGCGAAAGCGUGGGGAGCGAACAGGCUUAGAUACCCUGGUAGUCCACGCUGUAAACGGUGGGUACUAGGUGUGGGGUCCAUUCCACGGGUUCCGUGCCGUAGCUAACGCUUUAAGUACCCCGCCUGGGGAGUACGGCCGCAAGGCUAAAACUCAAAGGAAUUGACG